rnacentral:rRNA from 1 species
AGAUUGAACGCUGGCGGCAUGCUUUACACAUGCAAGUCGAACGGUAACAGGCCGCAAGGUGCUGACGAGUGGCGAACGGGUGAGUAAUGCAUCGGAACGUGCCCAGUCGUGGGGGAUAACGCAGCGAAAGCUGUGCUAAUACCGCAUACGAUCUAUGGAUGAAAGGCGGGGACCAAGGCCUCGCGCGAUUGGAGCGGCCGAUGUCAGUAUUAGCUAGGUUGGUAGGGGUAAACGCCCUAACCAAGGCGACGAUCGUAGUA